rnacentral:lncRNA from 1 species
GCUAAUUCUGGUAAUGCGCCUCACGGCUUUCGCGCGUUGAUUGUCUGUGCAGGUUGGGAAGGGAAAGUCAGCAUUAAAUGAUUGACUUGCUGUGCUUAACAUACAUUCAAUGCAAGAAUCUAGUUUAGUUCUAACUAAGGGAGUUGGCUUGCUAGGGAAAGGGAUAAACUAGGCUAAUUCUCUCUCAAUGAUUCUUCCGUGAAAUACAAAUGGUAUGUGCUUGGAUUUUUGGCCCCCCAAGCAACCUAAAGUCUUCCAUGACCUCGAUUCCACGUAUACCCGAUAACAUUCCGUAACCAUCCAUACCACAAUCCACUUGACAAGCCCUGAAUAUGUGACUUGGGCUUAGCAUGACAAUAAUUAACAUGAGGAAGCACGGCAUGAUGAAUAGGUAUAAGCAUGGCGUUAGUAUCUGGCUUAAUCACCGUGUAAUGGCAUGUUUGUAAAUAUAUUCCUCUUCGAUCCCUUGCCUUGGCAUGUAUUUGGGCUUGAAUGUAGGCUUUGCACGACAAUUGGGCCUUGAGACUUGGUUGGAUUGGUGUGUGACCUUUCUAGGCCCCAACAAACAGAAAAAAAAUCCAAUAUAUUAUAGGGAAAUACCUAGAAAUAGGACAAUUCCUUAAUUUUGGGACAAAAAUAGGACAUUUCGAAUAUGCACAUGACAUGCACAAAAAUCAGACAGAAAUAGAAUUUUUCCUACACCUUAAAAUGAUUUAAUUGCCCUCGUAUAUAAAUGAGUUAUUUCCUCUCAUUUUCUUAUUUCUCUCUCUCUACUCUUUCUCUCCCUCAUUCUUUCUUCUCUCACUUCCUCCCUCAUACACCCCCCUCUUCCUUUCUCAUUGUGCACACGGUGUGUAGUUGUCCCAACCAGCACCGUCUAAAUCGAAGCCACCAUAAUUUCAUCUUGUCCUCACGAGUCCAAAACACCUAGCAUUGUCACGAAUCUCAUAUUCAAUUGUUGGGAUCGAAACUUAAGCAGACCACGAGUUUUCCGGUCAUUUUCUGGCAGCACAGCAAAAAAUCGAGGCUCGAGGCCACUACCACUAGACUCGCAUCGAGGGUGGGCACAAAGCCUAAUCAUUAAAUGUUGUUGUUUUGUUGGAUUAAUUUUUUCAGGAUUUGCUCAUUGUAGUACACGACAUGCACAUGAUAUGCUUAUAGAUUUGAGCCAACUAAAAAACCCAGAGCUUACAGCCCUCUCUUUGGAAUCAGAAAAAUGACGUCAUCACAUGUCCGUAUACACUAUAUGCACACCACAUGCACAUGAUAUACACAAAACUAGAAAUCGAGCAAUGAGUUGCUUUUGCCUUAAUAAGAAACUCUAACAGCCACCUAUU